rnacentral:rRNA from 1 species
UACGGAGGGGGCUAGCGUUAUUCGGAAUUACUGGGCGUAAAGCGCACGUAGGCGGAUCAGCAAGUUGGAGGUGAAAUCCCAGGGCUCAACCCUGGAACUGCCUUCAAAACUGUUGGUCUUGAGUUCGAGAGAGGUGAGUGGAAUUCCGAGUGUAGAGGUGAAAUUCGUAGAUAUUCGGAGGAACACCAGUGGCGAAGGCGGCUCACUGGCUCGAUACUGACGCUGAGGUGCGAAAGCGUGGGGAGCAAACAGG